AGUAGAACGCACAGUUUAUACCGUAGCUUGCUACACCAUAGACUGUGAGUUGCGAACGGGUGAGUAACGCGUAGGUAACCUGCCUGGUAGCGGGGGAUAACUAUUGGAAACGAUAGCUAAUACCGCAUAAUAUUAAUUAUUGCAUGAUAAUUGAUUGAAAGGUGCAAUUGCACCACUACCAGAUGGACCUGCGUUGUAUUAGCUAGUAGGUGAGGUAACGGCUCACCUAGGCGACGAUAGAUAGCCGACCUGAGAGGGUGAUCGGCCACACUGGGACUGAGACACGGCCCAGACUCCUACGGGAGGCAGCAGUAGGGAAUCUUCGGCAAUGGACGAAAGUCUGACCGAGCAACGCCGCGUGAGUGAAGAAGGUUUUCGGGUCGUAAAGCUCUGUUGUAAGAGAAGAACGGGUGUGAGAGUGGAAAGUUCACACUGUGACGGUAUCUUACCAGAAAGGGACGGCUAACUACGUGCCAGCAGCCGCGGUAAUACGUAGGUCCCGAGCGUUGUCCGGAUUUAUUGGGCGUAAAGCGAGCGCAGGCGGUUAGAUAAGUCUGAAGUUAAAGGCCGUGGCUUAACCAUAGUACGCUUUGGAAACUGUUUAACUUGAGUGCAGAAGGGGAGAGUGGAAUUCCAUGUGUAGCGGUGAAAUGCGUAGAUAUAUGGAGGAACACCGGUGGCGAAAGCGGCUCUCUGGUCUGUAACUGACGCUGAGGCUCGAAAGCGUGGGGAGCGAACAGGAUUAGAUACCCUGGUAGUCCACGCCGUAAACGAUGAGUGCUAGGUGUUAGGCCCUUUCUCGGGGCUUAGUGCC
rnacentral:rRNA from 1 species